CUAGUAGCGGCGAGCGAGCGGGAAGAGCUCAAAUUUAUAAUCUGGCACCUUCGGUGUCCGAGUUGUAAUCUCUAGAAAUGUUUUCCGCGUUGGACCGCACACAAGUCUGUUGGAAUACAGCGGCAUAGUGGUGAGACCCCCGUAUAUGGUGCGGACGCCCAGCGCUUUGUGAUACAUUUUCGAAGAGUCGAGUUGUUUGGGAAUGCAGCUCAAAUUGGGUGGUAAAUUCCAUCUAAAGCUAAAUAUUGGCGAGAGACCGAUAGCGAACAAGUACCGUGAGGGAAAGAUGAAAAGCACUUUGGAAAGAGAGUUAACAGUACGUGAAAUUGUUGGAAGGGAAACGCUUGAAGUCAGACUUGCUUGCUGAGCAAUCGGUUUGCAGGCCAGCAUCAGUUUUCCGGGAUGGAUAAUGGUAGAGAGAAGGUAGCAGUUUCGGCUGUGUUAUAGCUCUCUGCUGGAUACAUCUUGGGGGACUGAGGAACGCAGUGUGCCUUUGGCGGGGGUUUCGACCUCUUCACACUUAGGAUGCUGGUGGAAUGGCUUUAAACGGUCCGUCUUGAA
rnacentral:rRNA from 1 species